rnacentral:rRNA from 1 species
UAAGCGACUAAGCGUACACGGUGGAUGCCCUGGCAGUCAGAGGCGAUGAAGGGCGUGCUAAUCUGCGAUAAGCGCCGGUAAGGUGAUAUGAACCGUUAUAACCGGCGAUACCCGAAUGGGGAAACCCAGUGUGAUUCGUCACACUAUCAUUAACUGAAUCCAUAGGUUAAUGAGGCGAACCGGGGGAACUGAAACAUCUAAGUACCCCGAGGAAAAGAAAUCAACCGAGAUUCCCCCAGUAGCGGCGAGCGAACGGGGAGGAGCCCAGAGCCUGAAUCAGCAUGUGUGUUAGUGGAAGCGUCUGGAAAGGCGCGCGAUACAGGGUGACAGCCCCGUACACAAAAGCGCAUGUGCUGUGAGCUCGAUGAGUAGGGCGGGACACGUGGUAUCCUGUCUGAAUAUGGGGGGACCAUCCUCCAAGGCUAAAUACUCCUGACUGACCGAUAGUGAACCAGUACCGUGAGGGAAAGGCGAAAAGAACCCCGGCGAGGGGAGUGAAAAAGAACCUGAAACCGUGUACGUACAAGCAGUGGGAGCACAGGUUUACCUGUGUGACUGCGUACCUUUUGUAUAAUGGGUCAGCGACUUAU